CCUACGGGAGGCAGCAGUGGGGAAUAUUGCACAAUGGGCGAAAGCCUGAUGCAGCAACGCAGCGUGAAGGAAGACUGUUCUCGGAUUUUAAACUUCUGUUCUUAGUGAAGAAUAAUGACGGUCACUAAGCAUCAAGCCACUGCUAACUACGUGCCAGCAGCCGCGGUAAUACGUAGGUGGCAAGCGUUUUCCGGAAUUACUGGGUGUAAAGGGAGCGUAGGCGGGAAGCCAAGUCAGCUGUGAAAACUACGGGCUUAACCUGUAGACUGCAGUUGAAACUGGCUUUCUUGAGUGAAGUAGAGGUUGGCGGAAUUCCGAGUGUAGCGGUGAAAUGCGUAGAUAUUCGGAGGAACACCGGUGGCGAAGGCAGCCAACUGGGCUUUAACUGACGCUGAGGCUCGAAAGUGUGGGGAGCAAACAGGAUUAGAUACCCGAGUAGUC
rnacentral:rRNA from 1 species